AAUGAACGCUGGCGGCGCGCCUAAUACAUGCAAGUCGAGCGAGAAGACGUAGCAAUACGUUUGUAAAGCGGCGAACGGGUGAGGAAUACAUGGGUAACCUACCCUCGAGUGGGGAAUAACUAGCCGAAAGGUUAGCUAAUACCGCGUACGCUCCUUGGACUUCGGUUCAGGGAGGAAAGCGAUACCGUGGGUAUCGCGCUCUUGGUUGGGCUCAUGUCCUAUCAGCUUGUUGGUGAGGAACGGCUCACCAAGGCUUCGACGGGUAGCUGGUCUGAGAGGACGAUCAGCCACACUGGCACUGCGACACGGGCCAGACUCCUACGGGAGGCAGCAGUAAGGAAUAUUGCGCAAUGGGCGAAAGCCUGACGCAGCGACGCCGCGUGGGGGAUGAAGGUCUUCGGAUUGUAAACCCCUUUCGGGAGGGAAGAUGGAACGAGCAAUCGUUCGGACGGUACCUCCAGAAGCAGCCACGGCUAACUUCGUGCCAGCAGCCGCAGUAAG
rnacentral:rRNA from 1 species